GCAGGAUUACUCAAGUGGUUGAAGAGGCGUGACUCGAAAUCUCGUAGGACGUGAAAGCGUUGCCAGAGUUCAAAUCUCUGAUCCUGCGCCA
rnacentral:tRNA from 1 species